GACGAACGCUGGCGGCGUGCUUAACACACGCAAGUCGAACGGAAAGGCCCUGCUUUUGUGGGGUGCUCGAGUGGCGAACGGGUGAGUAACACGUGAGUAACCUGCCCUUGACUUUGGGAUAACUUCAGGAAACUGGGGCUAAUACCGGAUAGGAGCUCCUGCUGCAUGGUGGGGGUUGGAAAGUUUCGGCGGUUGGGGAUGGACUCGCGGCUUAUCAGCUUGUUGGUGGGGUAGUGGCUUACCAAGGCUUUGACGGGUAGCCGGCCUGAGAGGGUGACCGGCCACAUUGGGACUGAGAUACGGCCCAGACUCCUACGGGAGGCAGCAGUGGGGAAUAUUGCACAAUGGGCGGAAGCCUGAUGCAGCAACGCCGCGUGCGGGAUGACGGCCUUCGGGUUGUAAACCGCUUUCGCCUGUGACGAAGCGUGAGUGACGGUAAUGCGUAAAGAAGCACCGGCUAACUACGUG
rnacentral:rRNA from 1 species